UGCUAAUGCAAGCACUAAUUCUUUUAUGCUGAAUGGAAAAAAUGAAAAAACCCAACCCUAGAUAAAUAGUUACUGUGUGUGAAUUAAUGGCAAAACUCAUUAAUUGAAAGGUAAGAGUUUGAUAGAUAUAUAUUCCUGGAUAUAUAUUCAAAAUAUUGGAUAAUUAUUAAUUCAAAGCCCAUUUUAUGUAUGACACAGAUAAUGUACUUUGCACCUGUUUUUUUAGCUUGUCCUAACGACUACUGAACCUAAAUUUUUGUUUUAUUCAGAAGGCCCAAAGGAGGAUGAGACCAAUCUAUUACUUAAUAUUUGCAUUACCACCAUUAACAACUUUGUCUGAACCUCUGUUCUCUUGAAAUGCACUGCUCAUACUUCUAGAUGUGCUCAAGCAAGUUUUAUUUUUGCUGUAAAUUGAUCAUGUCAGCAUCAGAAAUGGAAGUAUUUGGAUUUGAGCCUGCUUAAUAAAUGAAGAUUUUCUUCCACCUUUUAGAAGGGAGAAAAUAAAUCUGAAAAAAGAUUCCA
rnacentral:lncRNA from 1 species